UGUAUCGGCAAUACAACACCUGCAAUGUUUUGUAAAUUCAUUUUUUUAAAAUGAAUAGAGAGUUUUUUACUUAUAAGUAGUGAUUAGUGGAUUGUGUACAGUGCUGUGAUAUUUGUAAUGGAUGCAGAGAGCGAGUACGAAAUAAAGAGAGCUCGUGAUGCGAUUGAAAUGAUAGAGACUAUCCAGUCGAUGAUCGACGUUUCUGCUGAUAGACUUGAGGGUUUGAGGACGCAAUGCUCGACGAGCGCCGAGCUGACGCAGCAGGAGAUCCGGACCCUGGAGGGCAAGUUGGUGAAGCACUUCUCCCGUCAACUGGUGACGAAGGCGCGGUUUGGAGAGGAGCUGCAGAGGCAGUUAGCUGGCGUGCCGCGGCUGGCGCAAUGGCUGAGGGUCGUUGGACUCAGUCAGGAAUCCAUCGAGGCAAUAUGUUCGCGCGUGCCUUCCCUGGAGGCGCUGCGCGAGCGAUCAGACUACGAGUUACGAGCACUGCUGGCUGGAGCUAGGGAUGAGGAGCAACGGCGGCUAUGUCGCGCCAUGCAGCGGCUACGGGCCUACGCAGAAGCGCUAGCUCGCGGCGAGGCGGCAUCAGAGAUGCAGCUGUACUGGGACUCGUGGGAGAGGCACGGGCGCGGCUCGCCGCGGGCCCGCGCCCGCCAGCCGCGGACCUCGCUGCCCACCGACUCCGACUCCGCGCACUCUACCCCGCAGGGGAAGAAGGGCAGGGCGAGCGGGCCGGCCAGCCGCCGCCAGCCGCCGGCGCAGCUGCCCCCGCCGGCGGCGACGCUCACCAAGUCCCGCUCGCACGAGUCGCAGCUGUCCGUGCGCCCUGAUGCCUCCGACUUGAGCGACAACAGCCAGUCGUCAGCGGUGGGCACCUUAGAAGGCACCCCGCCCGCUUCGCCGCACGACACCGAACCCGAGACCACGCCACUACACCGACCAUCUAACAACGUGUCUCAUCAUAAUUCAUCAACAGCGUCGGCGACGAGCUCGAUAGCGAGCUCCGUCCCUGCGCCGCGCUCCCCGCGCACCCCCACCACGGUGGGGCGCUCCAUGGCCCACGACAUCGCGCACCGCUUCACCAAGACCUUCAACAUGAUCGCCACCUGUGACUACUGCGAGAAACAGAUGCUCUUCGGGUCCGGCUUGAAGUGUAAAGAGUGCAAGUUUAAAUGUCACAGGGAUUGCGAAACGAAAGUCCCUCCCUCCUGUGGCCUACCUAUAGGGUUCGUCAAUGCGUUUAAAGAGAAGAUCUAUAAAGAUGGUGGUGGUUAUUACGUGUCGUCGCCGGUGGCGGGGCGCGGCAGCUUCCUGUCGUCGCUGCGGGCGCCGCGGCGGCACCACGCGCCCCCGCAGCACAACUACCCGGGCCCGGACUCGUCGUCGACGACGUCCUCGUGCAACAGCUCGACGCCGUCGUCACCAGCCCUGUGCGCCCCCAACACGCCGCACCACCACCACCAUCUGCCCACCAAGCCGCAGUUCCACUUCCCAGAAGUAAAGCCGCCGGUGUCGAGCCCCAACCACGUGACGUCAGUGCAGUCCCCCAGAACGAUACCCGAGCAUAAAGAAGACCUCACGCCCAGUGUUAAAAGUGACAGUUCCCGAUGUGUGUCCCUGACGGGGUCGGGCUCCACUGACAGCGGCGGCGCGGUGCGCGCCGACUCGCUCGACCUCAGCAAUAAGGAUUCCAGAUGGCCGCGACAAAAUAGCUUAUCAAUGAAAGAAUGGGACAUCCCGUACGACGAGUUGAAACUGUUCGAGAUCAUCGGGCACGGGCGGUUUGGAACCGUGUACCGCGGCUCCUGGCACGGCGCAGUCGCCGUUAAGCUGUUACACAUGCACUCUCUCAGCGACGACGCGGUGCCGCUCGAGACCUUCAAGCACGAGGUGGCGACGUUCCGCAAGACGCGUCACGAGAACCUGGUGCUGUUCAUGGGCGCGUGCAUGAAGCCGCCGCGGCUGGCCAUCGUGACGUCACUGUGUAAGGGCAACACGCUCUACACGCUCAUACACCUGCGCAAGGACAAGUUCACCAACAACAAGAGCGUCAUCGUGGCGCAGCAGAUCUCACAGGGUAUGGGGUACCUGCACGCGCGCGGCAUCGUGCACAAGGACCUCAAGACCAAGAAUAUCUUCCUGGAGAACGGAAAGGUGGUCAUCACCGACUUCGGACUGUUCUCCGUCACCAAACUCUGCUUCGGAAACAACGCGCGCGGCGACAGCCUGGGCAUCCCCCCGGGCUGGCUGUGCUACCUGGCGCCCGAGCUGGUGCGGGCGCUGCGGCCGCACGCCUCGCUGCACCUGCCCUUCUCCAAGUCCACUGAUGUCUACGCCUUCGGCACGGUGUGGUAUGAGCUGCUGUGCGGCGAGUACCCGUUCAAGGGUCAGCCGCCCGAAGCCAUCAUCUGGCAGGUGGGCAAGGGCGUCAAACAGUCGCUGGCAAACAUGCAGGCCUCUAGAGAUAUUAAGGACAUUCUAAUGCAAUGCUGGUCGUACCGCUGGACGGAGCGGCCGGACUUCCCCCGUCUUCUCUCCACGCUGCAGAAGCUGCCCCGCAAGCGGCUGGCCCGCUCGCCUUCUCACCCCGUACACCUCUCGCGGUCAGCUGACUCCGUCUUCUGAGACCGGACCAACCUCGCGCUCUGUGUGCGGCCCUAGUGAUUGGUGAGUCUUCUAGGAUUGAAGGAAACAGAAGACGUGGAAAGACCUGGACUUUUGGAAUUACAAAUAAUAUAGAUGGUGUCAAACAAUGUGUAAUAUUGAUACAGGGCUAUAAGAAUUACUUUCUCCCUAGCGUUAUUCCGUUUUUACAGGGUCCGCUUGCCUAACCUGAAGAUUUGACAGGUUUUUUACAAAAGUGAUAACCUGUCUGACCUUAACCAGCGAAGGUUAAACCAGCUCGAUACAAGUUAGGUCACAUACCUUCGAAAUGCAUUUCUCGGGAAUAUGGGUUCCCUCACGAUGUAUUUCUUCUCCGCUGAUCACGUGAUGAACAUUUAUGAUCCAAACACCGAAAACAAAUUCGAAAAUCAAUGGAACCUGCGCUAUCACUGCUCUCACAGAGCUAUGACAAUUGACAUAGUAAAGUUUUCCGAAGAAAUUAGAAACUCUAUUUCUGAACUCGCAACCCCAUAACCUGCAGUGGACAGACGGAUUGGCAGUCUUCUGUAAAAUCUUCAGAUUAGGCAAGCGUAUCCUGUGAAAACGGAAUAAUGCAGUGUGCAUCUGUCGAUAUCAGAAAAAAAAUCUUAUUAUGUCUUGUAAGAACGUACCUUGAAGAGGUCGAUGUAAACCGUCAUUCGUCAUUUCAUUAGUGCUCUGAUGGCUCAAGAACAUUGUAACUCUGUUAUUUAAAAUUUAUUAACCUCCUUCUUUUUGAAGUCGGUUAAAAACAGAAGACGCACGGCGAUACUAUAAAGUAUCUUAAAAGUAUAAAGUAACUUUUUUCGGAUUUUCAAAUUCCGAAUACACGAUAAUUCUAGUAAUUGAUGAACAUGGAAAUUAUCACUCGUUUGUUUUAAGAAAUGCGAUGAUAGCUGAUAGUCAUGAAAUAGAAACACUGUACAGUCAUGAGUCAUGUAGUAAUCAUGUACCCACUUUAGUACCCUGUCGAACUGUCAUAUUUGACAUUUAAUGAGACUUACGGUUUAAUUUGUCAAAAAAGUUCAUGUGACAAGGUAUCAAAGUGUAAACAUAUUAGUACUCGCGACCGUACAUGAUCUAUGUCAGACGAAAAACAAAUUGGGAAAACUAUUUAUCCGUCUUCCUUUGAAUGUGUUCAAAAACCUACGCCUUUAAUAUUAGUUACACGUAGGGAAUGCAAUCCCGACUCGAGAUUGCAAAUUCGAGAUCCCGCGGGAUUGGAAAUAUCAAUCCCGCGGGAUCCCGAAAUUUUCGGGAUCUCGUCUAGUUCAUAAAAAAAUGUAAAGCAAAGAUAGCUGAAAACAAUGAAAACUGCUUGUUUGUGAUAGUGAGGUUAAAUAAAACUAAAUAUUUUUUUAAAGAAAACAAAAACCUUUAUUGUUCAAUAUUACUUACUAAAUAACUUAAGUUUUCUUUGGAAAUCAGCAUAAUCAAAACAAAAAGUAUAACUUAAGGAGAUUAGAAAGUAGUUACGGGUGAUUUUGAAAGUAGCUACGUAAAAAACAAAGCUACCAACGUAAAAAGACUACUGAACGGGUACUCGCCUAAUCCCACCAGUCUCGAACUUGGAACGGGAUCUUUCGAACUCUCGAACGGGAUCUUGUCAUAUUAUGCUUCGGGAUUAAUCCCGACAUAUUAGAGAUCUCGCAUGAUCGGGAUCCCGCGAGAUCGGGAUUGCAUUCCCUAGUUACAAGCUUGACAAAUAAGUAUAUUCAGUAUAGUAUUUUUUUGUGACUCAAGUUAUUUUUUGUUUAGUUCACUUUGUCUAUGGUAAGAUGUGACCAUAGAGUAAAUGCGUUGUUUAUUAUUGUUUUAAAAAGGAACUGGGGUUUAAAAAGACCACACUGAAGCAAUUCAUCUGUUGACAUUACGCACCUACUUUUUUAUGCGCAAUUGUCAAAUUGCAAUAUUGCUUAUUAAAUGAAUUGCUUCAAUGUGGCCAUUUAGAUCUCCAGUUGUCUUCUGUCUUUGUUCAUAGGGUAGUUUCCAACUAGUCAAAUCGAUUACUUUUUACUAAACUUCAAAGGACAAAAUUACUACGGAAUUUGUAUGAACAAGUUUUGCAUUGUUGUGCUGACUGUUGUGUGGUUUUCUUUGAUAUCGUACAUUUUUUGCCACUGCAAAAUAACAAGAAACGACGCAAUAACUCAAAUAGUAAAAGUAUUGUUUGUCUCGUGAAAGUCAUAGUGAGCGUUCAACAUGUCUGAAGAACCGCAAAAUAAUGGCAACGGCGAUAAUGGCGAAAAAGAACAAAGGCCAAACGGUGCUGGUGAUGAAGGCGACGCUUGGGGAAGCCACGAUUCCUCAUCGAUCCGUCGCUACGCUAAAAUGCACUGUGGGACGCCGGAGUUGUGGAGUUAAAUAAGAGACGUGUGUCUUCUAAGACGGUCGUUUAUUGUCUGUCUAUGGAUAAUGACAUAUAAUAUAGAUAUGUAUAUUACAUGGGUGUGGAGGUACACACUACACUGUGAUGUCAUAGAAAAACGUGACAAAAUGUCGCACUUCAUAAACAAGUUUCGUAAAUCUGUCUUUCAGAAUUUUAUAAUUUAUCAUUGACCUAGGAAACUACCCAAUUCGUAAUAUAUUUAUUUGAUGUGGCGAAGUGUUCCCAAUUUGUGCAAUGUUUAAUCUAUUUGGUAAUUACUGACAGAUGAACUGUUGAUUUUUUAUUUAAUCAUUUAUAAUAUUGACCAGUGAUUGUACUGAACCAGGAACGGAGAACUAUAAUAGCUCUGGAGACUACUAUAAAAUGUUAUUUUUUUUCUUAUAACGAUGCUCUCAAGGGCCUAGCCCCUCUGUCAGUUUCAUCGAAAUCAAACACAGAAUAUACCAAUUCAUUAAACCUCUUUAUAAAAUUGUUAUAAGCAAAUAUAUAUAUUGCUGCUGAUUUCAGUACACACCACCUAAUUUUAUUUUUAGUUAUACCUGUCAUUUUCUUAUCCGCCGAAAACGAAAGGGACGAGUAAUCGACAAGCAUAAAAUUUAUGGAACACACGUCAAAUUUCAGCAAAUUUUAAGCACAAAUCUAAAACAGCCCUAUAAAAAUUUUGUUUUAGCUAAUAACCGACUGGAUUAAGUUGACAGCACAUGUCAAACGGUUUGCAUACCAGCGAAUACGUUUUUGAUUCGGCCGGGUUAUUCAUUCAUUUACUCAUUCUUCCUAAAAUUAAGAGCUGUCAAUCAUCCGUCUCUUUCCUUUUCGGUGGAUAAGAAAAUGACAGGUAUAACUUAAAGUAACAUUAGGAGGUGUUUGCAGGAAUCGGGGCCAUUGUAUUCUACAUAGCUAGGUAUAAUCCGCGGCGUAUAAGUUGAACAAUGACCUUGAAUGCGCAGUGAGAAAUUAUUGGGUCUCAAUCGAAGUGCGGUAUGAAGCGGGACGCGAGAGGUACCACGUAACCAUGACAACCAAUGAUGCUACAGACCGCCAUAUUUGUUCGAUGAGCAGUUUUCCAGUUAGUUCCAUCGUUAUACAGAGAUGGCGUACACGUCACUUUAGGAAAACUGUGUACGGCAUUAUAUUUAAAUUUCACAUAUUCAAGGGAGGUUAUCCGAUAUUAUAGUCGUUAGACAUAAUGUCUUUUUAAAAUCCCAUUUUUAAGGAAUCUUCUCAAUUAUUAAGGAAACCUCGGCCGCAACAGAAUAAAGUAAGAUAGAAAGAAAUAAAGCAUUUAUUAUAUUAAAGGACGCCACAGUAACAAUACAAACACAGUAGGAAAAAAAUUUACACAAAAUCACAUAUUAACAGAAACGUAAAAGGAACAGAAAAAUAAUAAUAAAAUACAAAAUAUUGGUGCUAACAGUAAUGUGGCGGUGUAAAGUAAUAAUUUAACUAUUUAUAAGUAGUAUUUCUUUCUUAUUAAAAAAAAUAUUUUUGUUUUUUUUUUAUUAUAGCGAAUGAUGUAUACGUAAAUAAACUGACUGUUUCGUUUUGUUUUCUUUUAUUUGGUUGAAUAAACUUUUAAAAACGAUUUGAGCGCCAUCUCUUGUUAUUGAAAGAACUAAAAUUACUGUAGAAAACUCAAUCAAGUUUUGUUUGAGGUUUACGCUCAUUCAAGUUAUACAUUGUUUGAGUUUUACGCUCAUUCAAGUUAUACAUUGUUUGAGUUUUACGCUCAUUCAAGUUAUACAUUGUUUGAGGUUUACGCUCAUUGAAGUUAUACGAGUACGCCGCGGAUUACAUCAGAUAUUUGCAUUAGCCCUAGCGAUAUAAAACACCCAGAUGUAUUCUAGUAUAUGCAUAAACUGUGUAAAAUAACAAUUUGUAAGUAUGUUAAUACAACUGUAUAUUACUGUAAGUAAACUUGAUCUCCGAAUAAUCGAUAGAUUAAAUUAUAUUUUUGGUAUUAAAGUGGUGUUGACUGCUUGUUGGUUUGUAAAUAGUGUACAGUGUUGUUCUGUGAGUGAUGCGAGGCGAUGUGGUGGUUGAUCAUGGUUGGUUUUAAAGUAUUAAAACCUCAGUUGAUUUUCAAAGUCCGGACUUUCUGCUUUUUAUCUCGCUUUUUCAUCGCCAAAGAGUUUUCACCACAUAACAUAAGCGACUAUAUCAUAAUUAGGCUCAGAGGUACAUCGCAAGAUGAACUAAGUACCCGCACCUCACCGAGCUUUCUAUUAGACCAACGUGAUAGGUGAGCCGUAUCGCCGUCUAUAAUGGAGCCAACUAUGUUAGUGAAAACUGCGAUUUUUUUUACCACGACGAUAGAAAGGAGAUUGGCCCAAAGGGGUCCAAAUGUCUGUCAGUGUAUUUUUGACUGCGGUUUGGUAUUUAUUACUCAGUAUUUAGUGGUCUAUUUCGCUAAAUAAGUCUCGUUAAUGGAGGAUAUUUGGACCAAGUUCCAUACAACUUUGGUCAAUCUUCUUUGCUUUUAAUGUCGCGUGCGUUAUUUAUCUAAAAUGUCCGGCUUGAAGUCAGGAUGUGUAUUAACUUUAAAAGCAUAUUCUAAUGUGCCUUCGAAUAAAAAAUAUACCCUUCUAUUAUUUGUCACUUCUGUUACUAUUUAACUAAUUUUAAUUGAUGGUUGUAUUGUAAAGUGUACAGAUAGUGUAAAUAGAUAAAUAAAUAAAAAAAAAAUAACCAAUAUGAUCAAACACCACACAAGUCUGUGAGAACUCAAUUAUAACUAGUUAAGAGUUGAAAUUCCGAUUGAAAUGUUCUGUUUUCUUUUUAAUUAUGUACUAUAAAAUUUGACAUUUUGUGCUAAAAGUAACCUUAACAUAUUGUUCUGUUCAUUUUAAACGUAACUCGCUUAAAAAUUCGUUUCUCUGUGCGUAUACUACUCAAAAAUAAUAAUGGCGUUUGUAAAACAUAAUAUAAGCUCAUAUAUCGCAAUUGGGGUAGUCAGAGGUACAUCCAUCGCAAGGUGAAGUACCUACACUACACGCUUUCAGUUAGACCAACAUGUGAAAAAAAAAAACGACUUGCAUUUUAAGCAGCAUCAUUAUACAUAAACUCUCGCUCAGUGGAUUGGACAGACAAACAAGUAAUCAAAUACAACUUGGAGCCACUGUUGGUACGAAGUCUUUAGAUGGAUAUGAUGAACCUUAACAGCAUUAGAAAGUCAUAAUAAUCUUAAUUUGUAGAUUGACAGGUUUAUUUAUAAAAAUACAUUGUUAAUAAUAACACAAUUAACAGAGCAUAGUACCCCGCUAGGCUCCGGACACAGGUUGGCCGCUGCAAGGAUUAUCUCUGCAGGUGGGGAUAUCUGGUUGAUGGUUGCGAUGAUUGCGAGUGUGGAGUAUCACCACAAACUAUGGCUCACUUUUUGUGCUGUCCUAAGUGCCCUAACACCUGCACUAUUAAAGACCUUCACGAAGCCACUGACAAUGCAGUAAGCGUAAUUAUUGGUCAGCAAAAAUUUAGUAUCGAUCGCCAUCGACUCGCAAAAAAGACCCCGAUAGACAAAAGUUGGUAGUGUGACCAGGGAUCAACGACCCGACGGUGUUAUGUCGGAAGUUGUAUGUAUGCGUCGCGCUGUGUAAACUUCGUUAGCGCGUUCUAGGACUGUAUUAAACGACGUGCGCGCCAUCUGUUGGUAAUGGGCGGAACUAGCUGGUCAACUAGUUGGGACCGCCGCAACGCUAAACAGUAUCCGUUUAAUUUUUGGGUAGUAUAUAAUACAUAAAUAAAUGAUUGGACUAGUUAAAAUUUCAACUUGACUACAGGGAAUAUUGUUGAGAAUAAAAUUUUAUAAAUUAUAUUCAGUGAAUGACGAUUCUUGAGUGAGUUGAAGAACGAUGGAUUCAUGUUGUUUACUGUUGACUACUUAAUGUGUUUGAUUAUUUAUGUAUUUAUUAUAAUUGCGACUUGCAAUAUUUACUAACACUAUGGUUGAAUCGUCAGGAUAUAUCUGCGGUUACUACAUUACAUUACUCUGUCCAUCGUGUUAGAUGCGUCAAGGUCACGCGUGGUUACUAUGGUUACUCCCCAACUCGCUCGAGAUCGUGGUUACCAUGGUUACGCCCCGUCGAUUUGCUAUUAGACUCGACGAUCUGAUCGGCAAAUCCGUGACCUUGACGCAUCUAGCCCUGUGGACAGGGCAAUGUAACCGCUUAUCUACCAACAGGUAGUUAUUUUUCUAUGGUUUGAAUGCUGCAUAAAAUGUUUACUAUACACUUCUCAUAAAAAAAAACCUCGCAGUUUAUAUUUCGCAAGGAUUAUCAGAAAAAUAUUCAAUACGAGUAUUAUAUACAAAAAUAAAUGUCACUUUAGCGUUUCUUUUUUUUAUGAGAAGUGUACUUUUCUAAUCAGCAUUAAUGAAGUAAUGAGGUAUAUUAAUGUGCAUCCAACUAUAAUGCACGUUGCACACAGCCGGGAACGCGGGACAAGCGGCUCGCAAACAAAAUCCGGGGCUGGCCUAGACUGAGACCUGAAACCCGUCCGGGAAAUCAAAUUCAAAAACAUCUUUAAUCAGUUACACUUUGAAUCGUCAAUUUUUACAUAACGUCUAAAACUACUGCAACUUCGACACAGGGCCCUUGACGUUCUUAAAACAUUCGAAAGACAACUAUCUGGUGAUAGCUAACCAGGCGGCCUCUUGGCGUCGGGCUUCCCUCAUUGAGAGUCCUCAGCGCUCCCCAUUUGUCCGGCCAAGUAGUUUAUGCCAUCUGGCAUCUCGUUCACGUGUGCCGUGAACAUAAUUCUGUCGGGUUAUUGACCAAUGUAAAAUUUUUGUAGAAUUGUUUUAGAUUUCUGCUUAAAAUUGAUGUGUUCCAUAAAUUUUAUGCCUGUCGAUUAUCCGUCCCUUUCCUUUUCGGCGGAUAAGAUAGUGACAGGUAUAACUUAGAAUAAAAUAGGCUAGUUUCGAACUAGUCAAAUCAGCUACUUUUUAUUAAACGUAAAAACACAAAAUUACUAUGGAAUUUGUAUGAAAAAGCACACUGUGACGUCAUAAAAAAACGUGAUAAAAUGUCGGACUUAUUAUUACAUUUUUCUUUAUUAAAAUUCAUAAAUAAGUUAAAUAGAAAAAAUAAAAUGUUUUUCGUUAGUUUUAGAUCUAUCUUUAUCUGGUAUUCAGAAUUUCAUAAUUUAUCUUGAACCUAGUACAGUCUUGAGCAAUAUAAUGUACCCACUUUAGGACUCUGUCGCACUAACAUAUUUGACAUUUAGUGAGACUUACAGUUAAAUUUGUCAAAAAAAAUAAUGUGACAUGGUACCAAAGUGUAAACAUAUUAAUGCUCGUGACUGUACACGACCCAAUUAGAUGGUGUCUGCAGUAAUUAGCACCAAUGAGGUUUAGGUUUUAAAAAGAUAUUCGGUCUUGCGACUCUAUGGCUAGUUCGGGACUAAGCCGGGGUUAUUUACCGCUGAUCGCAGUCCCGGCUCCGUGUAUCCAAGUUAAAUGUUUUUGUAAAUAAAGCAACAUUCCUAUCGGUUGAAAAUAUUUCGCUCGAUAGUUACUAUUACGAAUUGUAAGUACAUUUGUUUGUAAAUCUUGAAGUUACCACGUUCUAAUGUUUCUGAAGAGGCUUUAUAAGGGGUUGCCGUUGCACUGAUAAAAAAAAUAAUAUUGGCGAGUCUUUACGUGACCCCCGCUUAAAUAUAGGGCUGGCUGGUUUUCAAAUGAAGUUUUAUAAAUUAAAUAAAUUACCGAAUAAAUAUCGUCUAAAAAGAUUCAACAUUCACUUGACAACCAGCCACAUUUUCAUCAUUAAAAAAAACACAUAAAUUCAUUUCAUAUUAAAAAAAAAAUAUAAAAUUUCAAAUUCUAACAGCUCACCUUGUUAAGUUAUUGUUUACUAAAUUAUUGUUAAAUAAUAAAGGAAAUUAUUCUGGUCACUCAACUCCUAUUAAAGUAAUAGUUAGUUGUUGUAAAUUAAUAAAUGCUUCAGACGAGAGACUGUCUCGUGAGGUUUGCAAGAUGGUAUUGAAAUGUUUAGAUUUAUUUACUUUAUUAAAUCGCAGUAUUAACUUAACCUUUUGACAGAAGUUUUAUUAUGUAUGAUUAUUUUUAUUGACAUAACUUAUAUAAUUGGUUAUUUUAUUAAGUGUUAUGUAAGAUACCUACUUAACACUUUCACGGACAGAAAGUCUACGGGUGAUGUACCAGUGACCGUGAAAGUGUUAACGUUAUUUAGAGUUGCUACUUUGGUAGGCAGUACUAUUGCAAAUACAUAUUGGCCCCGAUUCCUGCAGACAUCUCUUAAUUUUACUUUAAGUUAUACACUUAUACCUGUCAUUUUCUUAUCCGCCGAAAAGGAAAGGGACGGAUGAUUGACAGCUCUUAAUUUUAGGAAGAAUGAGUAAAUAAAUGAAUAACCCGGGCGAAUUUUUAGACGGUUGUUUUAGAUUUGUGCUUAAAAUUGACGUGUGUUCCAUAAAUUUUAUGCUUGUCGAUUACCCGUCCCUUUCCUUUUCGGCGGAUAAGAAAAUGACAGAUAUAACCUAAAAUAAAAUUGGAUGGUAUUUACAGGAAUUAGCACCAUUGUAACAUUUAUUUGAAUCUAUAAUGCAAUAGGCUAGUUUCCAACUAGUCAAAUCAGUUACUUUUUACUAAACGUCAAAAUACGAAAUUACUAUGGAAUUUGUAUGAAAAAUGUGACAAAAUGUCGCAGUUACGUUUUUCUUUCUAAAUAAGUUAAAUAGAAAAUGUUUUUUGUCACCUUUAGAUCUGUUUUUAUUUAGUAAUAAUCAGAAUUUCAUAAUUUAUCUUUGACCUUAGAAACUGCCCAAUUCUCAAUUUACUUAUGCAACAACUCAGCAUAUAAGUGUAUUAUUAUAUAACAGGGUGUCUAAAAAGGCCACAUUGAAGCAAUUCAUAUAAAAAAGCAAUACUGGAAUUUGACAUUUGCGCAUGUAAAAGUAAGUGCGCAAUGCAAAGAAAUGGCAAAAUUGCUUUCUUAGAUGAAUUGCUUCGAUAUGGCCAUUUUAACCCCCCAGUUCUUCAAUGCCAUCUAGCAAGCCUUGGUUCUGACGACUGCUAGGAAGUGAGUGAAGCCAUGUUGUGUAUAUAGGGAGCGGCUUAUCCUUUGUAUAAAAAUUAUAAAUAUUUAUUCAAUAGGUACAGGCGAGGUCGCAGUUAGUUCUAGUUUUGCAUAUGUAUUGAGAUUUCGAAAUGACUAGGUUAGUUGCAUUUGCCAAAAUAAAUCUCACAUCACUGUUAA
rnacentral:misc_RNA from 1 species